ACUUUACAGCAGUGAGGAAGGUGGGUAUGUUAAUAGCAUACUCUAUUUGACGUUAGCUGCAGAAGAAGCACCGGCUAACUCCGUGCCAGCAGCCGCGGUAAUACGGGAGGGUGCGAGUACGUUAAUACGGAAUUACGUGGGACGUAAAGCGCAUGCGAGGUUGGUUUAGUUAAGUCAGAUGUAGAAACGGCCCGGGGCUACCAACCGUACGGUAAUUGCUAUUUAGAAACGUGGACAAACUAGAGUACUGUAGAGGGGGUAGAAUUUCAGGUGUAGCGGUGAAAUGCGUAGAGAUCUGAAGAAAUACCGGUGGCGAAGGCGGCCCCCUGGACAGAUACUGACACUCAGAUGCGAAAGCGUGGGGAGCAAACAGGAUUAGAUACCCCGGUAG
rnacentral:rRNA from 1 species